rnacentral:rRNA from 1 species
AGUCAUACGCUUGACUCAAAGAUUAAGCCAUGCAUGUCUCAGUAUACGCUAACUUUAAUGGGAAACUGCAAAUGGCUCAUUAAAUCAUUUAUAUUUUAUUUGAUGUUUCUUGCUACUUGGAUAACUGUGGUACUUCAAAAGCUAAUACUUGCCUAAAAACCCCCUACUUCUGGAAUGGGUGUAUUUAAUACAUAAAAACCAUCCUCCUCGGAUUUUGGUGAUUCAUAAUAACUUCUCUAAUCGAACCGCCUUGUGCUGGCGAUGCUUCAUUCUUAUAUCUGCCCUAUCAACUGUCUAUGGCAGGAUAGAAGCCUACCAUGGUUGCAACGAGUAACGGGGAAUAAUGGUUCUAUUCCUGAGAAGGAGCCUGAUAAACAGCUACCACAUCCUAUGAAGGCAGCAGGCGCGCAAAUUACCCACCUCCCCACGCACGGGAGGUAGUGACGAUAAAUAACAAUGCUAGGCCCUUUUGGGUCUUGGAAUUGGAAUGAAUACAAAUUAAAUCCCUUAACUAAGAACCAUUGGAAGGCAAGUCUGG